rnacentral:lncRNA from 1 species
CGCAACAAGUACACGCAAAGCACUGCGCACUCAGCAGACGGACAUUAGCCGAGCUCCUCUCUUCUCUCUUGAGUAACAAAAACUGGGCUAUGUACAUAUUUACACAAUCGAAAAACAAACACACAUAAAUCAGCAUCCACACACAUGCGGUUAUGUGGUGUGUACCGAGGCAACUGAUAAGAACAUCCGGGGGGCAGCUUAGCCCCAUCUCUCUUUGCUCCAGCAGAUAAAGAUGACCAGGAUCAGCACACACACAACGUAAUGGGCAUGCUAGAUAUAGACCUAUUCUGGGGACAGACAGAUAAAAAUAUAGAUUUGUUUUGUGUGUUAUGUACAGUAUUACGCGUUAACGCAAGAGCUGACACACCGCCAAUGUUCCGAGACACACGUGCAUGGUGUAUUUCGUGGACAAGGCCGGCGCGACACGAAGCACUUGUAGCUAAACCAGUCUUUGUAAAUAUGAACAAAGGCCAAGACACAUGCCACGACUGGACGUGAAAAAAAAUGGGCCCCAAAGAAUGACACCAGUUAUGAACUCGGAGGAUGCAAUUCUAUUUCAGACAUGAAAAGUCUUGUUACUCUUUCCAAACGGUGAACUGAGCCUCACUGUUUUGAGACAAGACAUUUGAGCUAUAAGAAAGAAAUUAAGCAGCAGCAGCCCACACAAAUUAGUUAUGCAGAGUUCAACAACGUAACAACUUCUGAUGCACAACAAUUGUGAAGAUAGUAGUUUUCAUGCCAGGCCCACA